AUUGAACGCUGGCGGCAGGCCUAACACAUGCAAGUCGAGCGGACGAAGGGGGCUUGCUCCUGGAUUCAGCUGCGGACGGGCGGGUAAUGCCCAGGAAUCUGCCUGGUAGAGGGGGAUAACGUCCGGACACGGGCGCGAAUACCGCAUACGAUCUGAUGGUGAACGUGAGGGAUCAUUGGAGCUCACGGGAUCAGAUGAGCCUAGGCCGGAUUAGCUAGUUGGUGAGGUAAAGGCGUACCAAGGCGACGAUCCGUAACUGGUCUGAGAGGAUGAUCAGCCACACUGGAACUGAGACACGGUCCAGACUCCUACGGGAGGCAGCAGUGGGGAAUAUUCCGCAAUGGGCGAAAGCCUGACCCAGCAACGCCGCGUGAGUGAUGAAGGUCUUCGGAUUGUAAAGCUCUUUUAGUUGGGAAGAACAACAGUAUGUUAAUCCAUUGAUGUUUUGACGGUACCAAAAGAAUAAGCCCCGGCUAACUUCGUG
rnacentral:rRNA from 1 species